rnacentral:lncRNA from 1 species
UUGCCGAACUGGAGAGAGAAGUACCACCAGUCCUUUGCCGAGGAGUAGCGCUUGAAGGUAUAAAAAUACCUAAACAAAGAAAGAGAUGGCUGAACUUCGACUAUGUGGCAAAGAGAGAGGAACCCUAACAAAAACCUAAAGGAAUUCGGCGCGACUGAAGCUAAAGAAAUGUCUAAAAAAUGAAAAAGAGCAACGAUGAAGGGCGGAAGCAGAAGUCGGAGCCC